rnacentral:rRNA from 1 species
UUUGUGUGGAUUAGCUAUACACAGUCUGGCCUGCCCCCUGAGAGUUUAAAGGGCCGCGGUAUUUGGACCGUGCUAAGGUAGCAUAAUAAAUAGUCUUUUAAUUGAAGUCUAGUAUGAAUGGUCGGACAUGAGGCAAGCUGUUUUAACUUUAAUGAUUGAAUUUUACUUUUAAGUGAAAAGGCUUAAAUUGAGUGGUGGGACGAUAAGACCCUAUAAAGCUUUACAUUUUAUUUAUUAGUUUGGGGAGUUAAGGUGUUCAAUCCUUGUUGAUUAAAAUGUUUCGUUGGGGCGACGGGAAUAAAAGUAACUGUUUUUUAUAUAAAAAUAUAUAUUUGUAGGUGAGAUGAUCCUUUUUAGAGAUUAAAAGAGUUAAGUUACUUUAGGGAUAACAGCGUGAUUUUUCUUGAGAGUUCAUAUCGACAGAUGUAGUUGCGACCUCGAUGUUGAAUUAAAAUGCCCCCCAGGUGUAGCAGUUUUGGUGGUAGGUCUGUUCGACCUUUAAAAU